GGCAGGUUGCCCGAGCGGCCAAAGGGAGCUGACUGUAAAUCAGCCGUCAUCGACUUCGUGGGUUCGAAUCCCUCACCUGCCACCC
rnacentral:tRNA from 1 species